rnacentral:misc_RNA from 1 species
GAAAUGCGAUAAGUAAUGUGAAUUGCAGAAUUCAGUGAAUCAUCGAAUCUUUGAACGCACAUUGCACCCGCCAGUAUUCUGGCGGGCAUGCCUGUCCGAGCGUCAUUUCAACCAUCAAGCCCCCGGGCUUGUGUUGGGGACCUGCGGCUGCCCGCAGGCCCUGAAAACCAGUGGCGGGCUCGCUGUCACACCGAGCGUAGUAGCAAUCACCUCGCUCAGGGCGUGCUGAGGGUUCCGGCCGUUAAACAGCCUUACAAAACCCAAGGUUGACCUCGGAUCAGGUAGGAAGACCCGCUGAACUUAAGC